rnacentral:lncRNA from 1 species
GUGAAGCACCAGCAUCCUCUAUGACUUUUCCACCAAGGUUCUCUCUUUCACAAUCUUUUUUAUGUGCAUCUUAAUAUUCAUCUAAUUAUCUCUCUUUGUUUCCAAUAGCCAAAGUGUGCAACCUACAACUAAGAAGAAAAUUAGAAAAGGCACAUUAGAUUCUGGAGACUCAAUCAGGUAAUAUAUGCUUCUAAUUCUGAUGUAUUUUAUUUUGCUGCAAUCAGCCUUGAAUACAAAUCAGUCUUAUUUUAUCUAUAACACUUGAUAAUUUUUAUUUGUUAUACAUAUAUAGAUCCAAGUCAGCAGGUAGUGCAGGUAGUACAGAC